rnacentral:rRNA from 1 species
AUUGAACGCUGGCGGCAUGCUUUACACAUGCAAGUCGAACGGUAACAGGUUAAGCUGACGAGUGGCGAACGGGUGAGUAAUGCAUCGGAACGUGCCCGAUCGUGGGGGAUAACGCAGCGAAAGCUGCGCUAAUACCGCAUACGAUCUGAGGAUGAAAGCGGGGGACCGUAAGGCCUCGCGCGAUCGGAGCGGCCGAUGUCAGUUUAGGUAGUUGGUGGGGUAAAGGCUCACCAAGGCAACGAUCUGUAGCUGGUCUGAGAGGACGACCAGCCACACUGGGACUGAGACACGGCCCAGACUCCUGCGGGAGGCAGGAGUGGGGAAUUUUGGGCAAUGGGCGAAGGCCUGAUCCAGCAAUGCCGCGUGCAGGAAGAAGGCCUUCGGGUUGUAAACUGCUUUUGUACGGAGCGAAAAGGCUCUCUCUAAUACAGGGGGCUCAUGACGGUACCGUAAGAAUAAGCACCGGCUAACUACGUGCCAGCCGCCGCAGUAACAC